rnacentral:lncRNA from 1 species
GUUACAUAUUUGUUUUUCGUUCAUUUUUUUUACAUAAAUAAGGCCGUUAGUUUUCUCGUUUGAAUUUUUUUACGUUGUCUUAUCGGGGCCUAUUAUAGCUGAUUAUGCGGUAUGGGCUUUGCUCAUUGUUGAAGGCCGUACGGUGACCUAUAGUUGUUAAUGUCUGUGUCAUUUUUGGUCUUUUGUGGAUAGUUGUCUCAUUGGCAAUCAUAC